rnacentral:lncRNA from 1 species
AUUGAAGAUAUGUUCAUUGCUCCUGGGGUUUGUGCACCCAGGCUCCCAAUGUAUAUAUGCACUGAUAUUUAUUUUUAUCUGUAUUUAUUGAAUCAUGAGCAAUACCCUUAAUGCCAACCCAGUUCUUCUCCCUCUCCUUCUUUCCAUGUUUAUAGCUCCUUUCCCCAGCAGCGAAAACCUGGUUGCCAGCCUCCUCCUCAUAGCUAAUGAUUUUUCCUCAGUCCCCUGUGUGUGACUUUCCUCAGCCACCUUGCUCUCUCUGGCCUUGCCUAGUGGUUUUUCAACUGAAUUAAGGAAAAAGAAUGGAAACAACAAUUUUUCUUGAGCUUUUAAACAUGUGUUAUAAAUUUAAUUAACUGAGUUGCCUCAAACAACCUCAACUACAACUACAGGUUUAGUAUGGCUGAUUGGGACCUUUCAAACUCCUUAAACAGUAUACAACCCAUGCUUAAAUACAAUUAGCACAUUUUAAACUUAUGUAAAUCUGUUUCUAAAGCCAAGUCUAUGUCAAUUAUUUUUGCAUAUUAAAAAUGACUUUUAUACUACUAUGGCCAUAUUUACUUUCAUGUCUUCCUAGGAACACAGUUAAACACAACUUCCUGGGCUUGUACAAAUCUUAUCAAGCCUAAAGGGAAAGGGAUGCCUGCUUAGACCACAUGAAGGAGCAAGAUCUGGAUUGUUGACUGAUUCUUACUUAGACCUGGAUCCUGGCUGGACA